rnacentral:rRNA from 1 species
GCCUACGGCCAUACCACCCUGAAAGCGCCCGAUCUCGUCUGAAUCUCGGAAGCUAAGCAGGGAACGGGCUUGGUUAGUACCUGGAUGGGAGACCGCCUGGGAAUACAAGGUGUUGUAGGCU